rnacentral:lncRNA from 1 species
UUCAUCCAAACAUAAACAUUGAAGUAGACAUCUUGAAUUUGAUCAUGCAACUUGAAUGGAUUUCAUCUCAUAAUAAUUGAGAAAGUUAUGGUCUUGGGAAGUUCACCUCCAAAUUAGGGUUUAGACAAAAUGACCUAUAAUCUUUCACCAUAAAAAAUGAUGUUCCAUGAAAAACUAGCUCUAUACCUCUAAACUAGCUCCAUAUGACAAAAAUUGUAGGAGAUAGCGUCUAGGGAACCCCAGUUUUGAUCAGUUGACUUC